UGAACCUGGCGGCAGGCCUAACACAUGCAAGUCGAACGGUAGCACAGAGAGCUUGCUCUCGGGUGACGAGUGGCGGACGGGUGAGUAAUGUCUGGGAAACUGCCUGAUGGAGGGGGAUAACUACUGGAAACGGUAGCUAAUACCGCAUAANGUCGCAAGACCAAAGAGGGGGACCUUCGGGCCUCUUGCCAUCAGAUGUGCCCAGAUGGGAUUAGCUAGUAGGUGGGGUAACGGCUCACCUAGGCGACGAUCCCUAGCUGGUCUGAGAGGAUGACCAGCCACACUGGAACUGAGACACGGUCCAGACUCCUACGGGAGGCAGCAGUGGGGAAUAUUGCACAAUGGGCGCAAGCCUGAUGCAGCCAUGCCGCGUGUAUUAAGAAGGCCUUCGGGUUGUAAAGUACUUUCAGCGGGGAGGAAGGUGUUGUGGUUAAUAACCGCAGCAAUUGACGUUACCCGCAGAAGAAGCACCGGCUUAACUCCGUGCCAACAGCCGCGGUAAUACGGAGGGUGCWWGCGUUWAYCGGAAUUACUGGKCGUAAAGCGCACGCAGGCGGUCUGUCAAGUCGGAUGUGAAAUCCCCGGGCUCAACCUGGGGAACUGCAUUCGAAACUGGCAGGCUGGAGUCUUGUAGAGGGGGGUAGAAUUCCACGUGUAGCGGUNAAAUGCGUAUAGAUCUGGAGGAAUACCGGUGGCGAAGGCGGCCCCCUGGACAAAGACUGACGCUCAGGUGCNAAAGCGUGGGGANCAAACANGAUUAGAUACCCUGGUAGUCCACGCCGUAAACGAUGUCGAUUUGGAGGUUGUGCCCUUGAGGCGUGGCUUCCGGAGCUAACGCGUUAAAUCNACCCCCUGGGGAGUACNGCCNCAAGGUUAAAACUCAAAUGAAUUUACGGGGGCCCCGCACAANCNGUGGNGCAUGUUGGNUUANUUCNAUUCAACNCCAANGAACCUUUACUGGUCUUGACAUCCACAGAAMUUUCCAGAGAUGGAUUGGUGCCUUCGGGAACUGUGAGACAGGUGCUGCAUGGCUGUCGUCAGCUCGUGUUGUGAAAUGUUGGGUUAAGUCCCGCAACGAGCGCAACCCUUAUCCUUUGUUGCCAGCGGUCCGGCCGGGAACUCAAAGGAGACUGCCAGUGAUAAACUGGAGGAAGGUGGGGAUGACGUCAAGUCAUCAUGGCCCUUACGACCAGGGCUACACACGUGCUACAAUGGCGCAUACAAAGAGAAGCGACCUCGCGAGAGCAAGCGGACCUCAUAAAGUGCGUCGUAGUCCGGAUUGGAGUCUGCAACUCGACUCCAUGAAGUCGGAAUCGCUAGUAAUCGUAGAUCAGAAUGC
rnacentral:rRNA from 1 species